rnacentral:rRNA from 1 species
GAUGAACGCUGGCGGCGUGCUUAACACAUGCGAGUCGAACGAAGCACUUUAUUUGAUUUCCUUCGGGACUGAUUAUUUUGUGACUGAGUGGCGGACGGGUGAGUAACGCGUGGGUAACCUGCCUUGUACAGGGGGAUAACAGUUGGAAACGGCUGCUAAUACCGCAUAAGCGCACAGCAUCGCAUGAUGCAGUGUGAAAAACUCCGGUGGUAUAAGAUGGACCCGCGUUGGAUUAGCUAGUUGGUGAGGUAACGGCCCACCAAGGCGACGAUCCAUAGCCGACCUGGGAGGGUGACCGGCCACAUUGGGACUGAGACACGGCCCAAACUCCUACGGGAGGCAGCAGUGGGGAAUAUUGCACAAUGGGCGAAAGCCUGAUGCAGCGACGCCGCGUGAGCGAAGAAGUAUUUCGGUAUGUAAAGCUCUAUCAGCAGGGAAGAUAAUGACGGUACCCGACGAAGAAGCACCGGCUAAAUACGUG